GAUGAAGAACGUAGCGAAAUGCGAUAAGUAAUGUGAAUUGCAGAAUUCAGUGAAUCAUCGAAUCUUUGAACGCACCUUGCACCCUUUGGCAUUCUGAAGGGUAUGCUCGUUUGAGUGUCAUUGUACUCUCACACUCCCGAUCUUUGCAUUGGGAGCAGUGGACUUGGGUUUGCUGCUUCACCGUCGCUUACCUCAAAUAGGUUAGUGCAACUCUUGGUUGGACAUAGUACGGCGUGAUAAGUGUUCUUCGCCGGUGCCACGCAAAGAGGGUGGCCGAUCGGGAUGUUGUGCUCCAAACCGUCUUCGGACAAUCUCUGACGACUUGACCUCAAAUCGAGUAAGACUACCCGCUGAACUUAAGCAUAUCAAUAAGCGGAGGA
rnacentral:misc_RNA from 1 species